UGAUACCAUCCCGAACUCAGAAGCUAAGCCUCUCAUCGCCGAUGAUACUCUGGGGUUCCCCACGGGAAAGUAGGUCAUUGCCAGAA
rnacentral:rRNA from 1 species